AACAAAACCAAAAAGAAAAGAAAGAAAUAGAGGCCGAAUGAUUGGUAAAAAAAAAAAUAGAGAACAAAAGAGGCCAAGAGGAUGAACGAGAGUGUGACUGUCACUGCUCACCAUCCACCACUCUCAGAUAAUCUACCACUGUCACCGUCGAUAAUUAUUAUUUAUUUAUUUGCUGUGAUUCAUAUUGAUUUUAAAUUUGAUUCAAAUGUCUUGUUUUCAUUUGGUUUUGAUUUUUUUUUUUUUUUUUUGGAUUUGAAUUUUAGGGUUUUGGAAAAAGAAUACUGGAGGAGCACCCAGAUUUUUGCUACGCUUUUUGAAUUUGUUAAAACUACCAAAAUUCUCUAUGCAACGAGAAAAAUACAAAAGCAUGUGCUUAUAAAAACAAAGUUAUUGAAAAUUGGAGGACAUUGAGAUCUUGUCUAGGAGGAAUAGAGCUCCUAGAGUUGGUGCAAAAUAUAUGGACGAUGCAAUUGAAGUUAUGAUUGAGGAAGGAGAAAAGUGAUGAAUUCUCCUAUUUCACAACAAUAUGUCAAUAUUUGGUAUCAAUAAGUUAUGCAAUUGAGCCUUGUCAAAGAAAAAAUAGUAGAAAAGAUACACUUUGAAUCAAUUUUUUAGUUUGAGAUUUUGAAUGUUGUUAGAAAAAACCCAUAUAUUUGUACUCUUUCUCUCUCUAAAAUAUUUUAGUUGGCAAGAGUUGGCAAGACAUUUUUUUAGUUGGCUAUGAUGGAAGAUAUUUAGUCA